GGGUGGAGGACUCAGGCCAGGCGCACCCAGCCACUGGCAGCCUCCGAGAGCCGCGGCGCUGGGUAGGAAGACAGGAAGUGGCGGUGGUGAGCAACGGUAGCUCGACUCGGGCAGCACUCACAGAUUUCACGGAACGUGGACGAGGCUCUCGUCAUGGGCUGACCACAGAGCCACAGCAGCAUGCGUGCUUUGCCCGAGUUACCUGAAACAUCGCGCCCAGGAGCCAGUGACGCACAGGGAGAGUUUCAGCAAGAAUGCUGGGCGGGCAGCACCUGUCCAAGACCUCAUUAAGUGCUUUAUUUCUAUCAGGGCACUUUCAGUGACAGAGAACUUCCGAAAUAAAGCUUUGGUCAUUCCACACCCAACCACCCCCACAAAUAUACGGAAUUAUGUUCUCUACCACUGGAAGAAUGAGGUUGCUUCAGCAAAGCAAUGUUUUAAAGAGCUGCCUUAACAUCAUUUAGGUAUCUAAAAA
rnacentral:lncRNA from 1 species